CCUACGGGAGGCAGCAGUGAGGAAUAUUGGUCAAUGGGAGAGAUCCUGAACCAGCCAAGCCGCGUGAGGGAAGACGGCCCUAUGGGUUGUAAACCUCUUUUGUCGGGGAACAAAACCCGGGACGUGUCCCGGACUGCGUGUAUCCGAAGAAAAAGCAUCGGCUAACUCCGUGCCAGCAGCCGCGGUAAUCCGGAGGAUGCGAGCGUUAUCCGGAUUUAUUGGGUUUAAGGGGUGCGUAGGCGGUCCGUUAAGUCAGCGGGAAAAUUGCGGGGCUCAACCCCGUCGAGCCGUUGAAACUGGCAGACUUGAGUUGGCGAGAAGUACGCGGAAUGCGCGGUGUAGCGGUGAAAUGCAUAGAUAUCGCGCAGAACUCCGAUUGCGAAGGCAGCGUACCGGCGCCAGACUGACGCUGAGGCACGAAAGCGUGGGGAUCGAACAGGAUUAGAUACCCUAGUAGUC
rnacentral:rRNA from 1 species